rnacentral:lncRNA from 1 species
AAAAACGACGUCCCAUCCCCGCAGCCUUAAGCUUAAGGAGCAGGAAACCCAGCUGCACAGCAUCCCAAGGGAGCAGACCACGAAAUAAAGCAUCCUGAGGAAACGCCCUGAAAACGCCAUGGAAAAACCCGGUACCGCCCGAGUCAUCAUUAAUGACGCUAAUUAGCGUUAAUGAGAGGUCUGCUGUGUUUUUGGGGUGGCCUGUAAUCUUAGGGUGUUGCUACCUGGAGCGGAAAUGCCACAAAAUGCAUCAAAAUUGGGGUUGGUUUUUUCCUUUAAAGGGCCGUGCGUGGCUGCGGCGUGACUCAGCACGGCUGCAGAAUGGGCUGAAAUGGGGACAUUUUGGUGCAUUUGGUGAAAAAUUGGGUGAGAAGGGGGGGUGGUGGGUAGGAAGCUGGAAAUCUGCUGGGGAAAGAGCGGUUGGAAAUGGGAAAAAAUGGGGAAAAAACAGAAUUUUCAGUAUUUUUCCAGCUCACUGUGGGGGAACGAGUGGGGGAAAAAAAAGGCAAUUUUUGGGGUGUUCUGCUUUAUUUAAAAAGCAAAAGAAAACAAAUUGGCGUUGGAUUUUUUUUUUCCCCAAAGAUUUGGGGAGUUUUUUGUUGUUUCUUUUUUUUUUUUUUUUUUUUUUUCUCCCCCCUCCCCGCUCUCCAUUGAGGCAGCGCCGCAGCGACAUAAAACGGCCUCAAAUUGGCCCAAAGAGGAGCAUUGCUAAAAAUGACUAAAAAUUAGAAAAGCAAACAAACAAACAAACAAACAAAAAACCCAAAAAAGAGCACAAAACCCCUUAAAAAAAGAGGCAGGAAAAAAUCCAAGUGAGCGGAGUAAGUACCAGCGGCCGGCCCCAAACCCCGCUUCGUCAGCUCGGUGCGCGCCGGGGAGAUGAGCCCGACCCCAAAUGCUG